rnacentral:lncRNA from 1 species
UUUCAGAAAUCGUAAUUGUUUCAGUAUUUGUGAGAUAAAAUUAUGUGGAGAGAAGCUAUUGAGAAAACAGGGGAGGGGUAAUUUACAGGUGAUGAAGUGACAAAGAUUCAGUGAUUUUGGAGAGUGAAGAGUGAUUGUUGUAUGUCUUUGUAAAAUUAGGUGAAAUGAAUUGUGUAAAAUUGUAAGAAGAUGUUAGAACAUAUUAAGAUAUUUUAAUGUGGUUCGUCAGUGUUAGAGAAUAUUCAGAUACUUUAGUGUGUUUCGUCGGCAAUAAUGGAGGAAACGGAUUCAUGGUGGUUCAAAUGGUGGACAAAGACAUUGGUCAAAAAAAUAUGACAAAAAGUUGAAUAGUGAAAAUUUUGGAGAAGAAUGGAGGAUUAUAGUUAUUUAAGGCAAUGUUUCAAGUAAGGAUGUAAGAUUGCAAUGGUGUGUUUUGGUGUAAAAAAUGGAAGGAGGUAAUCAAGGAUAGAGAUGGUGAGGGAGAAACAUAGUGAAAAAGAAAAAUAAAAAGAAAUUGAAAAUUUUAAAUAAAUUAAAAAUAAAUGACGUGUUAUUAAAAAUCUGACGUGGAUGAUGAAGUGUUAUUUUUAUUAUGUGUUUGAAGUGCACGCGAAGUCAAAAGGGUUUAAAAUGUUGUGUUUCAGUGGGUUCGAGAGUUCAUCUGGCAAAAUCGUGAGUAGAAGGGCCUAUGUGACAAAUGGAGCCAAGUACAGGGGUCUCCCAGGUCAUUCCGCCUUUUAGAAUUAGAUUGAUUUUAGAGUUAUCCUUUUUAGCGUACUGUUUGUUCUUUUUCUUUUCCAACCAUGUCUUUUAAUCACCAC